AGCUGAUCUAGUUAAAAACAUUUUAUUUAAAAUAAAAACUAGUAAAAUUAAAAACUAAAUUUUCGGCUGCGAACUGCAAGCCUUCAUCAGAGUAUGUGGCAAGAGUCAUUACACCUCUAUUUAUAAUGUUUGUCGUUCCGCUUGAUUUCAUCUGCUAAUAUAGAAUAACAAGCCGGAAAUUCAGUAUGUUCAUUAGCCGUGUUUUCACUAAGAGUGGAAUGUAAAGCCUCUAAGAAAAUCCUUUGUUCGUAGUUCUUAACACCCUUUUC